GACGAACGCUGGCGGCGUGCUUAACACAUGCCAGUCGAACGAAGAGCGAUGGAAGCUUGCUUCUAUCAAUAUUAGUGGCGAACGGGUGAGUAACGCGUAAUCAACCUGCCCUUCAGAGGGGGACAACAGUUGGAAACGACUGCUAAUACCGCAUACGAUCUAAUCUCGGCAUCGAGGAUAGAUGAAAGGUGGCCUCUACAUGUAAGCUAUCACUGAAGGAGGGGAUUGCGUCUGAUUAGCUAGUUGGAGGGGUAACGGCCCACCAAGGCGAUGAUCAGUAGCCGGUCUGAGAGGAUGAACGGCCACAUUGGGACUGAGACACGGCCCAGACUCCUACGGGAGGCAGCAGUGGGGAAUCUUCCGCAAUGGACGAAAGUCUGACGGAGCAACGCCGCGUGAGUGAUGACGGCCUUCGGGUUGUAAAGCUCUGUUAAUCGGGACGAAAGGCCUUCUUGCGAAUAGUGAGAAGGAUUGACGGUACCGGAAUAGAAAGCCACGGCUAACUACGUG
rnacentral:rRNA from 1 species